rnacentral:rRNA from 1 species
UACGUAGGGUGCGAGCGUUGUCCGGAAUUAUUGGGCGUAAAGGGCUCGUAGGCGGUCCAUCGCGUCGGGAGUGAAAAGCUGGGGCUUAACCCCAGUCCUGCUUCCGAUACGGGUGGACUAGAGGUAUGCAGGGGAGAAUGGAAUUCCUGGUGUAGCGGUGAAAUGCGCAGAUAUCAGGAGGAACACCAGUGGCGAAGGCGGCUCACUGGCCCGGUACUGACGCUGAGGUGCGAAAGCGUGGGGAGCAAACAGG